rnacentral:rRNA from 1 species
UACAGAGGGUGCAAGCGUUGUUCGGAUUUAUUGGGCGUAAAGCGCGCGCAGGCGGUCGCGUAAGUCUGCUGUGAAAUCUCCCUGGCUCAACCGGGAGGGGGCGGCGGAGACUGCGGGACUGGAGGGAGCCUAGAGGCCGGUGGAAUUCCCGGUGUAGUGGUGAAAUGCGUAGAGAUCGGGAAGGAACACCUGUGGCGAAGGCGGCCGGCUGGGGGUGCCCUGA